UACGUAGGGUGCAAGCGUUGUCCGGAAUUAUUGGGCGUAAAGAGCUCGUAGGCGGUCUGUCGCGUCGGCUGUGAAAACCCGGAGCUCAACUCCGGGGCCGCAGGUGAGACUGUGUGGCUAGAGCAUGGUAGAGGCGAGUGGAAUUCCCGGUGUAGCGGUGGAAUGCGUAGAUAUCGGGAAGAACACCGGUGGCGAAGGCGGCUCGCUGGGCCAUUGCUGACGCUGAGGCGCGAAAGCGUGGGGAGCAAACAGG
rnacentral:rRNA from 1 species